CUUCGUUUGGAAAAGAAAAGCGUGCGGGGACGGUGCUACCAUAUGAUCAAGGGGUUCAAGCCAACCCCUGGGUUCAAAAAAUGCAACAAAGUUAGUUUAUUUUUAGAGAUAAUAUGGUAUCUCUUUAAUAUUGUCUGCAUUCAUUGGAUCAUUCGUAAAAAGAAAGAGUAAAUGAGAAUCUACUUAAAUUUGUGAGUAAGUGUAUAAUAUAACCCGACAAAACAAAAUAAAACGGACCCAAUAAAUUUUCACCCAAAAUAAAGAUAACUACAGAGUUUCGUUUACGAAUUUUGUUUUGUGCAUUUUUGUCACUGCUAAACUAAAAUCCUAGAGCCAUUAAUACAUCCGAUUUGGGGAAGUUAGGGUUCAACUGGUGGUCGUACUUUUUUGUUUGCUUUCGUUUUUUCCCAUGAUGAGGACUCCCCUGAAAAAAAUCCGGGUAUAUGUGCACCCGAUCACAUACGGAGACCAGCAAAGCCAAGACCCGUGCGAGUUGAGAAGACCUUAACUUCUUUAGGUAAAAAAAAAUUACUUGUUAGCCAAUGCCAAAUUCCUGCAACUUGCGGCUUUCAAUAUUUUGUCCAGUCAGAACAUUGAUUUUAGACUUUAGAUUUUGGGUGGUUAUUUUUAUUACCUUAUGUGGUUAAGCCCAAAAUUGCAUAACAUAGAUUUAACGCAUUCAUGCAGUCAAAUUUUAGUUAGAUAUAUACUUACUUGGUUUGGUU